UGGGCAUGUCACAGUGCCCCAUAUCAGAACUAAAUAUGCCCCUGUACCACCGCCUGACCUCUGUGCCCCCAGGCUGCCUGCACUGAAAUGAGUUAUGGAGGG
rnacentral:snoRNA from 1 species